rnacentral:rRNA from 1 species
GCCAGCAGCCGCGGUAAUACGUAGGUGGCAAGCGUUAUCCGGAAUUAUUGGGCGUAAAGCGCGCGUAGGCGGUUUUUUAAGUCUGAUGUGAAAGCCCACGGCUCAACCGUGGAGGGUCAUUGGAAACUGGAAAACUUGAGUGCAGAAGAGGAAAGUGGAAUUCCUUGUGUAGCGGUGAAAUGCGCAGAGAUAUGGAGGAGCACCAGUGGCGAAGGCGACUCUCUGGUCUGUAACUGACGCUGAUGUGCGAAAGCGUGGGGAUCAAACAGGAGUAGAUACCCUGGUAGUCCACGCCGUAAACGAUGAGUGCUAAGUGUUAGGGGGUUUCCGCCCCUUAGUGCUGCAGCUAACGCAUUAAGCACUCCGCCUGG